GCUUGGAAGAUGGGUGCAGGUUCUAU
rnacentral:piRNA from 1 species